ACCCAUUGCUUGUGCGACAGCAUUGAAAAUAUUACAUUCUCCAUGGAGGUGAAUUAAUUUGGCGUCAACAAUGUGCGAGAUUUAAUACCAAAUGGAUGUAAUACAGUUAUUGUUAUGGAAAAGAUUUAUGUAUACAUAUAUAAAGCUAAAGAUUACACUGAAAUAAUCAUUUUUUACCUCCAUGGAGAAUGUAAUAUUUUCAAUGCUGUCGCACAAGCAAUGGGUGCAAACAUAAUUGGAAUAAAUAAAUCACUUGUCAUAAGUUCGGUUGUGCAACGAAUAUUUUAUCCUCUAUGUGACAGGAUCUGGCUUCCCUUCUUCCAAAGACAUUUUCUUCCAGCUUUUCUCAACUGGUGGUCUGUCUGGCCAAGAA
rnacentral:lncRNA from 13 species